CCAAUAGCGUAUAUUAAAGUUGUUGCAGUUAAAAAGCUCGUAGUUGAAUUUCGGGGUCAGUAGGUCGGUCGUGCCACUGGUAUGAACUGGUUUUACUGAUUCCUCCCUCUUGAAGAACUGUAAUGCCAUUAAUUUGGUGUUGCAGGGAAUCAGGACUGUUACUUUGAAAAAAUUAGAGUGUUUAAAGCAGGCUUUAGCUUGAAUACAUUAGCAUGGAAUAAUGAAAUAGGACGUUUGAUCCUAUUUUGUUGGUUUCUAGGAUUGACGUAAUGAUUAAUAGGGAUAGUUGAGGGCAUUAGUAUUCAAUUGUCAGAGGUGAAAUUCUUGGAUUUAUUGAAGACUAACUACUGCGAAAGCAUUUGCCAAGGAUGUUUUCAUUAAUCAAGAACGAAAGUUAGGGGAUCGAAGACGAUCAGAUACCGUCGUAGUCUUAACCAUAAACUAUGCCGACUAGGGAUCGGAUGAUGUUAAUUUUUUAAUGACUCAUUCGGCGCCUUACG
rnacentral:misc_RNA from 1 species